CAUUUUGUUCCAUAACUGCGCAGUUGCGCGGCCCCAAUGGCGUCGGGUAUAUAAAGCUGCAAUGACGUCAGCCCCGCACAUCAUUGAUUUCUCAACGCGGUUCGGGUCGGACGUCGAGUUGUGAAGUGCUUGGGAGUUCUACAAAUAUCUUUAGUGCCUGGUCUGAUUCAGUCCCAUUGCGUUUCGCGUGGGUCUGCAUCAGACGGCCGCCAUCUUGGCUGCCACUGGGGCGUGGUCGCUGCUAGCUACGAUAUGGGUUUGUAACGGUAUCAUGCAUUUUUUUAGUUAAUUUAUAUUUAUUUAAAUUGUUAUUUAAUAUUUCAGUUUCCUAUUUAAUAAUAGUGGAUUGGAAUUUCAAGUUUUAUUCAUAUUGAAUAAUAAAUUGUAACAUAUGUUUUAAGUAUGGCAAAUAAAAAUAAUUUGAAAAGAAUUGGACUGUUGAAUUUUAUUUCAAAUCUUUCUCUUUUGUAUAUUUGUCCGUAUUUCACCCGACAUGUAUUAUUCCAUGAGUCAUCACCGACUUAAUGAAGAUCGACGUAGCAGUCGCGAUGCUGCCGAGUUCCCGUGAAUGCUGCCUUCGGUUACUUCAGUUGCUGUCUUGGAAAGCUGCUAAGUUCGCUUCGGCACGGCAUGCGGCCCUGCACCGAAAUAGCGACGCGCGAAACACGCUUCCAUUCCGGUAUCAGCCCACAUUAGGUAAAAGUUAGGCAAUUGCGUCAUGAUUUCAUCAGUGUUAAUCGAAAUCGUAGACUCGCAAGCGGGUCUUUUCGUAUGUGUGUUCUUUUCGAGUCUCAGAUCUUGAACAACUGGCGGGUCGAGUUGCCAACUACCCUAAACUACCACGCGGGACGCAGUCUAUGGAGCCUGUCUACCGCGCAAAAGCGCUGCCUUAACGCGUACUUCGCUCACAUUUGAUACUGGCCAAACGAGUUAGAUCAUUUUGGUGAGUCAACUGUUGUUGUCAAAGAAAGUCUUGACUGCCCUACCUUUUUUAUUUUGCUGUCUAUAAUCUUUACAUUCUCGAUGUGAAAUAAAGGGCAAUGUUGUGCAAUAACAUUGAAUCCAAACAGGCUAGCUACUGUAAGACUUCCACCAUUGACUAAUGAAGGCCUGACGUGAGCAGUCCGAGAGUAAACGAGUUCAUGAGAAGUGUAGGUGCUCGCCAUAUGUUGUGAACUACAUCUAUUACAAUACUUCAACGUUAUGCUCCAAAUUUAAGUCGACGCAAUCUCAAACAAAAGUUACAGAAGUAAGAAGUUUCUGGAAAUAUACUACUUACAAUUAGUAGGUCACUUACGACACUGAAAAUAUAUAACUAUUUCAACGUGUGGGCUGAUUAUCUCCGGGAGUAUAAAAUACAAUAUUAACUGAAUCACAAUAUGUUAACAAAUAAAUUAAACUAUGUUUCAUCAUUUUAAACUGAUCGAACCAUCUAAACGUGGAUAUUAUAUUGUAUUGCGAUGGUCCGGUUGUCGUGAUGGUGACGUCAAGCCUAAAUAACUUAUCAAGGGGAACCUUCCAAAAGGCUACCACUCAGAUUUUUGUUAACAACAAGCCGUCACCAACGAUCACGGACAAAACGAUUAUUUUUUUCGAAUAUAAUUAAACCUGAAUAGGGACUCAUACAAGAACGAAAGUAUAGCAGUCAGCGGACGAAAUUUAUUACUUGAAAGCGACUAACCGGUCCUGACUGACGCAAGAUUUAGGUAAGUGGUCAUUCCCACAAUGGGCGUGCUGUUUUUGAUCACUUCAAAUACUACUGAACUGGUUGAAUGUACAGACAACGUUGAACGCAUACAUAAUAUUUCGUCAGUACAUAACAAGGUUAAACUGAUAAACAUGCCGUCGGGCAAAACUUAAAAAUUAAAUAUUUCUGUUUUAUAUAAUUAUUUAAUAAAAACUUUUCAUCCUAAAAUAUAUCUUUACAAUAAAAUAAAGAAAGGUUAAUGACGUAGGGUAAUGCGUAGAUGUAAUCUAUGAUAUAUAAAAUGCAUAAAUAUUGUGGCGAGUCCUAUCGCUGUUUGUGUGUGCCUUUUAAAAUUAUCUUCAGGACUAUCGGAAACAGCCGAUCUGAAUGGUGGCGUUCUAUAAGUCAACUGAGCAAUUAUGUACACGACACGCGUUUGGCGGAACAGCUGCUCCGCCAUCCAAACUAUUUACAUGAAGCAGACUUGGAAGCUGGUAACAUUAAACAUCUCAACCUAAAUUAUUUUGAAUCGCCGCCGGCGAUUUUAAUGUGCCUUCCAAGUCCAGGUUAAACUGCCUCACCAGUUAGCUGUAGUAACACUAAUACUGCACCAAAUCUUACGCGAUGAACAUACUACCUUCACGGGCCCUGAGGGAAACACCGAAAUAAAAGGUACUUAGGUUUUGUAAUAUGUAGAGGCUUAGCAAAAAGACUAGCUCCAAAGCCGUUCGAUAGUUGUUCUUUUUAGGAUGGAAAAUAUAUAAGGACAUCUAAGUAAAUUAUAUAUAAUGAUGAAAUAUCAUACGUCAUGAGAACAUUAUCCUUAAUGUAAAUUACGUUAAUAAUUGAUAAGACAAUACUGGAAAUAUGAAAAAUCAUUGAAUUUUAUAUAUAAUAUUAGCUGUGAACACUCUUCCAAACUACGCUAGACCUAAAAACGUUAGUUUAAUUAAAUAUGACUGAAAUGACCUGAGAGAACAUAGUAGAAUGACUCCUAAACGUGGACAAAUAAAAAUAACGCUAUCUUCUGGAAGUGCCAGCUAGACUUACGAGUUCAAAAUCUUUACCGAAACCAGGCACCUUCAGGAGAAAACUAUUGCUACUAUUACAUCCUAAUACUACGUACGAGUUCCGUAAUCAAUAUGUUAACAAACGAGUUAAUAUAAUAAUAUACAUUAAGAAUUAUAUUGAGAACGAAAAUCUAAUUUAAAAUAUACACGCAAAUAUUCUUUCGGCGAGCUGUUCCUGAGCACGCGUCGAGCAGCAGCAAAAUUUUAAUAAUGCUGCAGGUAAGUGGUUAAACUAAGAACAAAUGAUCCAAACAAAAUACUAUAAGUAUGUGAUAAUUACAAUUUGAAAUGAUAGUCUAUUAUUGAAAACUUUAUAAUAGAAGAAAAAUAUAUAUAAAAUAACAUAUAGCUGCUUAAUGCCGUUAAGGCAUGUAGGUCAUAUAUUAUUUUUCAGAAUUUUCAGAAAGUAUCUACUUACUACAUAUAACUUAGUCGAGGCAAAAUUCUAAAAUCAUAUUCAUAUCAUAUCAUAUUAAAAGACAAAAUAUCUCUGGAACAUACGGUCGUUACUAUGAAAAUGACCUACUUAAAACAAUAACUAUUUCUUGCAUUAAAAUAUUUAUGAACGAAGGAAAAACAAAGGAUACCAGAAUUUAAGGUAUAUAGUAGAGAAAUUUCGAUUUUUACGAACAUAAUGCAUGGUUCUUUAUUAAAUUGAAUAAAAUUUAGUUAGUCAAACUAUUUUGAUACGUUAUAGUAGAGAUUGACUAGUAUUUACGCAGAUUAUUUCUUAAGUUAUUAUCCUCAUUAGUUUCACAUAUCCAUAAUCCCUGUACGUUUUCCUUCUUUUAAGUUUGUUUAGCUAGAUGACUGCUGGUGUGAAGACUAUACCUAGCUACGAUAUCUAUUUUUGUGACUAAAUGAAUAUCAUGCAUGCUGGUACUUAAUGAUUACAUCCAGGUUACUGCCAAAAGUCAAAGCGAAUAUAGAAAUGUAUAUACUUAAUAUGCAUAUGUUAGUUCUAUAAUACCUGCACCUUACUUAAAGAGCAUGCAUUUAACAGGUUUAAAAAAUAAUAUUCAAUAAGGUAUGUAGCAGAUGAAAUUAAUUAUUAGCUUUUCGUGUAUACCUAAUUUCUUAUACUGUAUUGGUCACUCGAUUUAUGGCAAAUAAACUUUACUUGCUAACUGGAUUUGUCGAAUGAAGCAUACGUAUUUUCGUUUUCAAAUAAUGAGCUUUCAGCGAACUAAAUUGUAUUAAGGACCUGCUUAUGAUGUGAUUGCGUGAAACAGUUGAAGUGUAUAUUUAAAUUGCAUGGCACAUUAAUGGUGAUGACUGUUCUAAGCAUUAUAAUCAAAGCCUGUAAAAAUGCUAUAUUGUAAUAUCAGCCAUAUGUGUCAAUGUAACUUUGACGGUGAAAUGCAUUCUUGUUAAUUUCUGAUACUUGCUUGCUCGUGAGUGAAUGCAUAACAUAAUGAAACGCAUGCCUGAACUGUAAAAACUCUUCAUAAUUCACAACGAAAAUGAAUUGUGGUCAAAUGAUAUGAAUAUAAUGAUCGAAACAAGUAAUAUUUAUAUUGUAAGAAAAAAGUAUAAUUAUACAAUUUUGAACAACGAAAAAACAAGUAAGUGAUGCAAAACGAUGAUGUAUUUAUUAUAAUAUUAAACGAUAAGGCGCUAACUCAUAGCGCUCUAGUAGAUUGUGGUGGCAAGUCUAAUACCGCUUGAGCACUGCAUUUGCAUUACUUGCACUCUUUGGUGGACAUGUCUAAGUGUUGCAGUUGCGGAUCUUCUCAGCUAGCCUACUUAUGACCCUACCUAGGGAUGAUGUUCGUGGUCGUGCACAGCCCAUGUUAAGACACAUACUGCUAUCGAUAUAUUGCUUACGUUGGAUUACUUCCUGCAGAAGAGUUGUUUAUACUAAACUAAUUUAAAUAUACUAUAUAUAUCACCAACGAUGCUGUAUAGCUUUUCGUAAGGCCUAAGAAUAUUGGACAACGUAUGAAUCCAUCUUAAUGGCACGUGUGACUAGCUUUAGACUUUUCUGUCUACAGACUAUCUACACAGUAAGUGACACGCAUCGAGAUAAGUCAUCGCGCUGCGACCACCAUGAACCACUUAUGACGAUUAUAAUUAAUUAUAAGUAGGAAUCAUACUGUUGCAGUAGCGGCGCGUUUAUUUUCUUCACUUGUCUGCACAGACACUUUUCACGCAUGCCACGUUCUUAUACCGGAGCAUGAUGCCACCGGCUUGUAGCCAAACAAUUAUUUGUGGAAAAUUUAGAUGCUGGCACUUUGCGCUUCGGGGUAGCUGCUGUUUAAAAUCACCACACGACCUUUUCCUGAUAUUGGAGGUGCCACGAACCAUCAAGAUAUCCAUCGCAUUAAUUAAGCAUGAUAAAACAUGGCAGAGCUCCUAGCUCCAGUCAAUAUUUCUAAAUCAACAGAUGCUGCAGUGUAUCUUCGUUCGGCGAGCUAGACUUUUUGCUUAUCAGCUACAGGUAUCGCAACUGAGUAUAUCUAGCUCCUUUACCAUAAUGAAGCAUAUAGCUCCAGUGACUUCUACGAUUGUGGAGUCCAUCUUCGGUCAACAAGAUCUUCAGCAUACCCGACGUAGUACCUUAGAUGCCGCCAAUCUGCGAUAAAAGCGAUUUGCAGCUGAUCGGCUACGGACUUAACGUUUUUUUUAUCGUGGUCUUCGGGCACUGGCCGUCAGUGCUACAGGUUUCUACGGGCUAAGUAUCUUCGGCCAAGACGCUCAUCAACUUGUCAGACGUGGACCUACGUGUGCGACACAUCAUCCCAAAGCCAACUAUUAACGGUCCGCAAGCUGUUCAUCUCACCGGGGGAGAGGUUCUUUGGGGCGACACCUCAACCUGCUCUCCGGUGCUGCAGACCUACCAUCUUCAGUCAGCAGGCUCUCAAGUCUGUCAAACGUGGUGCUUCAGGUUCGGGCCACCAGUUUGCCCAGAACAGGGGCUGCAGGCUAAUCAUCUGUCAGCAGAUUAUCCAGCUUGCCGGAUGCGGCGAUUCGUAUACCAGCCACCAGUCUGCCCAACUCGCUGUUCGGUCGGCAGGCUUUCCGGCCUGCCGGACAUGUCGCUUCUGGUGCGGUACAUCUGCCAGCGCUGCAUUAAUGCCGCAAGACGAUUGUCUACGGUCAGCAGGCUAUCCAGCCUGCCGAACGUGGUUAUACGGGUACGAAAAAAUCAACAUAUACUACUGAUGCCGUAGCCUUUCUGCCGUCUUCGGUCAGCAGGCAUUAUUGCCUGUUUGCUAGUCUGCGCACUACGUGUCCUGACCAACUCUGAUCAGCAGUAUGUCCAGCUUACCGGAUGUAGUGACCAUCAGACUGCGCUCCACUUGUGCCGCAGGCCAACCAUAUUAAGUCAGCAGGACCUCAAGCAUGGCAGACAUGGUGCUUCGGGUGCCUUCGGGUGGUACUCAUCAGCCAGCGCUCUACUGGAGCCGCAGGACGACCAUCUUCAGUCGGAAAGCUCUCCAAGCCUGGCAAACGUGGUGCUUCGGGUGCAACACAUCAGCCUUCGCUCCACUGGACGAACUUCGGUCAGCAGGCUCUCCAGCCUGCAUGACGUGGUGCAGAACCCAAAGGUUCUGGCCGCCAUUCUGCGCACCACUGGUGCUGCGGAUCAUUUAUCUUCGCUCUGCAGGCUCUCUAGCCAGUAUGACGUGGUGCUUCGAGGGCCGGCCGCUAGUCUGCGCACCACUGCUGCUGCGGACCGAUCAACCGUCAGCAGAUUCUCCAACUAACCGGACGCUGUGCUUCGGGUUCUGGCCGCCAUCUGCGCACCACUGGUGCUGCGGACUGAUCACCCGUCAGCAGAUUCUCC